rnacentral:rRNA from 1 species
GACGAGGGGUCCAAGCGUUGUUCGGAAUCAUUGGGCGUAAAGGGCGCGUAGGUGGCCCGGUCAGUUCGUGGUGAAAGCGCGGGGCUCAACCCUGCGUCGGCCAUGAAUACUGCCGCGGCUGGAGCACUGUAGAGGCAGGCGGAAUUCCGGGUGUAGCGGUGGAAUGCGUAGAGAUCCGGAAGAACACCGGUGGCGAAGGCGGCCUGCUGGGCAGUUGCUGACACUGAGGCGCGACAGCGUGGGGAGCAAACAGG